GCUGGGCGCGGUGGCUCACGCCUGUAAUCCCAGCGGCUCGGGAGGCUGAAGCAGGAGGAUUGCAAGUUCAAAGCCAGCCUCAGUAAUGGCGAAGCACUAAGCAACUCAGUGAAACCCUGUCUCUA
rnacentral:sRNA from 1 species